rnacentral:sRNA from 1 species
AUGUACCGCGCGUACUUUCCGGUUCUGAGCGCGCCGUCCACAGCCACGUGACGACUGCUCGUUACGUGCUGUUAGGG